AGCCUGCCCGCCUGUCUGCCUGCAUGUCUUCUCUGACAACAUUGAGGCUGUGAGCAAUGCUUUUUCGAAACACUACCGUUUCUGGAUGUUUGUACUUGUGAUUCAACAUGUCAAUGUUAGCUGCCAUCAGGUAGGUAAUCGCAGACUGUCUUUUCUCUGUUAAAUAACACCAAGUAAGGCAACAGACAAAUCUUUUUUCCUUGUCCACAGCUCUAAGACUAAUGCUGAGACCAACUUUAAGCUUGUCUAGGAAAUCGACUUCACUCUUGUAAUUACCGCAGAGACCAGCACCAACAGCCAAGAUGACGGUCGCCAGAAUUCUACCCGCCACUCGUCCAUUCUGGCCUUCUGUUGGUUUCUGCGAGUGGCGUUGAAGGUCUUCGCACUACAACUAACCUUCUUUGACAAUCCUCUGAAAUUCUUUUGCAUUUACAUUCUUAAUUGAAACUUUGUUCUCUGGAUCUUGUCGAGGUGUAUGGAUAACAUAAUGAUUUCCCAACACUUUGGUAAGAAAAGGGGCAAGUCCUAAUGAGAGUAAAUCUAACUAGUGGCUUCUGUAGAUCUUUUAUUUUUUAACUCUCAGUCGAACCAACUGAGCAUGGCUUCACCCCGACCCCUUGUCAUCUUUGUGUGUGUGUGUGCAAUGGAAAAUUGUUUAUAAUAUAUAAACAGUCGGCAAAGAAGCUCAGUCCUUCUUAUCUGCUGAAGCCACAAUCUCGUUGCCUCACUACAACAAAACUGCCUCGUCUGUUUAUUUCUAUAAUAAACAGUUGCAGCCAGCACUACUAACACAGUUAUUAAUAGCGACAUCACAGUCGGUGCCAUUACUUUGGUAAUGAGGAAAAUAUAGCAAAACUAUGUCAUUUCUUGUUUAAGCUUUUCACUCUUCUAUAAAUUUCUUCUCUAACAUAUUGUGUAACUGAAAGAAUCAACAACAUUGCUAUUUGUAUUCAAUGGUUUUGUAUUAUUGGAACAUCAGAUUUUAAUUUGUCGUUUCUGCCAGUAUUUUUGGUGUCAAUUAGAAGAGGACUUCUCUAUCAUUCACGGAUGUUGCCAGUUGCUUUAUUUCAAUAUGUUGUUUAUACAGUGUUAACAUAUAUAUUCCACACACACUUGACACUGUCCCAUCAACACACCCAGCGCAUAUGAAAUUUCUAUAUUUUAUUUACGUAAGACGACGAUGACGACGACGACAUGUCAGGCUAAAAUAAGUUGCUCUAAAAUGCUUACCAAGUGUUUUUAUUUGCUUCUUCACCAUCGUAAUUCACUUAUGGUUUAAUCAUUGCAACUUUAAUUAUUAUCGUUUUGCUUUCUAGUUGAAAGCAAACCUGAUUUCUUUGUUAAUGUUAUCUCUUUUAUUUUUUAGUCGAAAGUGUUUUAACCAAUCUCGAUUACUAUAUUAUUAUUUGCUGAGUAAACCAUUUCGACGAUUGUAGUUAGAGAGAGGGCAUCGAUUAUGAUGAUGAUGAUGAUGAAUGUAAUAAUUUUGUCCGAGACACGACAGCGAGAACAAUUAUAUAUUUUGAUUACUGUUCUAUUAUUAUUAUUAUUAAUUUCUUGUCUUUAUUCCAAUAAGGGGAAAUGGUGGUUAUAUUGGUAAUGUUGAGUGGCAUUGAGGAGAAAAACCCUCCAAAAACCAUCUAAGUACGUUUUUAUGGUACAAACAUCAUCAUCAUCAUCACCAAUUGAAGGAGUCGAGUCCGUCUAGUCAGACAGCUGCCCGCCCAGAGGAAAUUAUUCACAAUUCAAACUUGGCUCAUCAAAAAAAACAAAACAAAAAAUUAAUUUGUCAUUACACAACCUUUUUCUUUUCUAGUUUUCUGAUGUUUUGGGGGACUUGUUUUUGUUUCCUGUCGAAAGUUAGAAAAUGAAUUUCAUAUCCCCGCUUCUUCCCUUUACAUUCACUCGUUUUUUCUGUUACCAACACUUUUAUAUAGCAAACACUUCUAAUAGAAUCUUUUGAUGAACUUCGCAGCCCCUUUACAAACACAAUUCGUUACCACUUCAUUAGCGGAUCUACCCUGUCUCCCGUCCUAUUUUUUUUUCCAUUCAUUAAACUAUUUUUCUGUUCGUUUCUUUUACUGUCCAUUUCACUCUGUCUUCGUAUCUAAAUAUGUCUGUGUCACUUGUCUGCGUAUUCCUCUACGAUUAUCUUAUAUUAUGCGUGUGAUGUCUGUCAUAUCCAGCCUAACUACCAUAUAUUGAU
rnacentral:lncRNA from 1 species